rnacentral:rRNA from 1 species
AUUGAACGCUGGCGGCAGGCCUAACACAUGCAAGUCGAACGAGUGGCGGAAGGGUGAGUAAUGGCUGGGAAACUGCCCGAUGGAGGGGGAUAACUACUGGAACCGGUAGCUAAUACCGCAUACCAUCGGAUGUCCUCAGAUGGGAUUAGCUUGUCGGUGAGGGAACGGCUCACCUCGGCGCCGAUCCCUAGCUGGUCUGAGAGGAUGACCAGCGAAGUGGGAACUGAUGCACGGUCGAGGGUACUACGGUGGGCAGAAUUGGGGAAUAUUGCACAAUGGGCGGAAGCCUGGUGCAGCCAUGCCGCGGGUAGGAAGAAGUCCUUGUGGUUGUAAAGUACUUGCAGCCGGGAGGCGUUACCCGCAGAAGAAGCACCGGCUAACUCCGUGCCAGCAGCGGCGGUAAUUC